GAAGAUAUUUUGGGGUAAGGGUCCCAUGUUAUGGACGUAAUGAAGGCCCCUUGUCCAAAAGGUUUCGUUUUCACAUCAACAGGGCUUCCAUGAGAAUGUCCUGCAAGGGAGACACGUGGCCUAUUUGAUACUCAACAUUCCCAAAAGGGUCAUCCACCGAAAGGUUAUUAUUGUCAAAGUAAUUGUAUUCAAAAUCAAAGGCGUUUUCAAGCUGUAGCCCAAUGUCAUUCCAUUUGGGGUGGCUCUGCACCUCCCUCUCCCACCUCACCUCCGCCGAAACCACCUGCUCUGAACCGCUCGACUCCGUCUGCACUCUAUGCAUCGACUCNNNNNNNNNNNNNNNNNNNNNNNNNNNNNNNNNNNNNNNNNNNNNNNNNNNNNNNNNNNNNNNNNNNNNNNNNNNNNNNNNNNNNNNNNNNNNNNNNNNNAAUUGCUCAUUCCUAAGCUUCUCAAUCUCCGGCUUCAUCUCUUGAUCGAAAUUAUCAACAAACCCAGCCUCCAUUUUCUGUGCCCCCGUGUUGAAUUUCUCAAUCUUCCCUUUCUUGUUGUAAAUUCGACACAACACCCAAUCGUCAAGCUGCACCAUAACAUCAAAAUCAGAAACUUUCAAAACAAACCAAACCAAAUCAAAAGAAAGUAAAUUAAAAUCAAAUCAAAACGUACCCUUAGGUUGUUGUUUUUCUUGGAGGCUGAUCGGUCAACAUUGGCGAGGCGAUAUUCGUGCAUGAUCCAAUUGGUUUUCUCUCCUUUCGGGGCUUUUCCCGAGUAAAAAACCAGAGCUUUCUUGAUCCCGAGCGCCUUCGGCUUUCCGAUCGGUUUAUCGGCGCCGGUGGCCUUCCAAUACCCACUUCCGGCGGCGCGGUUCGGCCGUGAGCCGUUGGGGUAUUUGCGGUCCCGAGGAGAAAAGAAGUACCAUUCUUUCUCGCCGUAAAAUCCCAUUUCUGCAAGCAGAAUCUGAUGAUGAGUGAAUUGAAUGAUAGAAAUUGAAAGUAUAGGAAAGCCAUGAGAAAUUAAACGGACCUGGAAGCUGCCAUGGAUCAAACUUGUACAAAUCGACCUCUUUGAUGAUAGGAACAGAAAUUGGUUGACCAGCGCAUUUUCUACACAGAUAGUGAUUCACCAAUUCAUCAUCCGUGGGGUGAAACCUGAACCCAGGUGGCAACUCUAAUUCACCCUUCAUUCUCUUUUCCUCUUCUCGCUUCUCUGUUCUUCCCCUUAGCUCUAAAAUCUUCUGAUUUUCAACUUUUUUUGCUUCCUGUUGUAGUUGUUGUUGGUGAAUGUUGUUGGCUCUGUGACUUGAAACGUGUGAAAGAGGAUCCCUUGGGUGGGUUUUAUAGCGUGAAGAGAUAGCAGAAAGAAAGUGAAUUUGACACGUGCGUUGAGGAGGUGGAGGCCAAAUCCAUUGAACAAAUUUAAUAGUAAUUAAAAAAUUAAAAAAAAUGUAAUGGGUGUGACAAGUGGAUGCGACGCACGUGAGAGUGUUCCACCUUUUUUUUUAUGAUUCUGUCAUUCUCUUUUCCUCUUCUCGCUUCUCUGUUCUUCCCCUUAACUCUAAACUCUUCUGAUUUCCAACUUUUUUGCUUCCUGUUGUAGUUGUUACUUGCUCUGCUCUUCCCGUCUCUGCUCUGCUUUGUUCUGUGACUUGAAACGUAUGAGAAAAUAUAGUAGGGUGGUUUUAUAGUGCGAUGGGAUGUAAAGGAGCAGAGUGAGUUGGAACACGUGGGUUGGUGAGGUGGAGGCCAAAUCUAUUUUACAAAUUUAAUAAAGAAGAAACAAAAUAAUGUAAUUUGUGUGAAAAGUUUGGUUGGACUUAGCUAGGACGCAGCCGCAACGUGGCCGUGGAUAAGUGUUCCGCUUUUUGGAUGGUUUGUCAUUGCUUACGUCACAUUUGGGGGGCAGUACCCUUUAGUUUCAAAACUAGAAUCAAUAGUUAUUGGCCACGCCUGAGUGUUUCGCUAAACGACAAUCAUUGUGUUUAGUCGAGUGUCCAUCUACGCACCCAAAUGUGUCGUGUUUCUUGCUCUGCGCAAUUGAGUUGUGCCAUGUUUCAACAUACUGUGAAUCUUAACCAAGGCACGCUUUUGUACAGAAGCAGUGUAAUAUGGCAACAAUUUAUUUACCAUUUAAGAGGAAGAAAAAGAGGAGAAUUUGUAGAAAGUUAACUCUUUUGUUCAGCUAGAUCACUGACGAAAUGUAUGGAAAGUAAAGGGUUGGGAGGGGCUGUUUUGUCCGAUACAUACUACGUUCAAAAGCCAACUUCCAAGGUUUUGCUUUAUGUUAACGCCGACAUACUUCAUUGUAUUCCAUAUAUAUAAACAUAAGCUAAUACUUUAUAUAAUUAAUUACGUAAACUGAAAAUAUUUAAUUUUUUCAUAUAAAGACAUAUGAUUAAUUAUAUUUUUAUCAUAAUUAAUAUGUUACUUUUUUUUUUCAUUCAGUAGUAAUGUAUUUGAUAGUAUAUGAUGAAUUAUGAUUAACCAUAUUAUUUAUUUUGAACACAACAAAUUAAAUAUGAACUAAAGGAAUCUGAUUUACAAUAUUCUUUGUCUUCCUUCUUUUCUAUCGAUGUUCCUUUUUCCGGUGGUCUUCUCUGAUUUCGGUGAUCUGUCCAUAAAACGGUUUAGUCAUUUUGGCCAUUGAUAUCGGAUAUGGAGCAGAUUCAUCUCUUUGUAGUGUGGGCUAUUGUUUUUUCUCCAUCUAUAAAUAUAUGCCUCUACUUUACUCCAAAAGCACAUCUCUUAUGACUUUUUUUCUCUUUUUCUCUUCUUCAUUCUUUCUUUUUCCUUUUUUCUAAUAUUUUCAGUAUCCUGAGUUUUUACCAUUUUAAAAGUUGUUUGCUAGUUUUGAUAUCCUCAGUUUUUAUCCGAGAAGUUUCUGUUAUAUCCUGAAAAACUUGUGCAAUACUCCACAAAUAAGUUCUUAUAGACAGUGAUCACUCAUGCUCGAGAAAAUCAACCUUGUUCGUGUUUUCAACUUUUAUUUACUACAAUCAUAAGUACUUAUGGCUGACAAUACUCACAACAACAACAAUUAUACACUCGAAACGUCAAACGUUGUUUCCGCAACUCAGACCGUAUUUGCAAAACCAUUUUCGAAUUUCUCGUCCCAAUGGAAAUAAUCUCACUUUCAAGAAAAAAUGAAAUUGCUUUGUCUGUGGAAGACUAGGUCAACAUGCGCCUCAGUGCAGACACAAGGCCAAAAACGACAAUCUUCCUAAGGAAAAUAUAGUCGAAGGGGAAGAUACCAUUGUUGUGGUCGUUUCACAAGUAAACUUUGUGACCAAUGUGAAUAAAUGGAUGGUAGACUCUAGGGCUUCAAGACACAUAUAUGCAAGCAAAAAUGUGUUUACUUCCUACGCAAGUGUGGGGGAUGGAGAAAAAUAAGUUUAUCUCGAUGAUUUUAGGACAACCUGCCCUAGGAAAAGGAAAGGUUCGUCUGAAACUCACAUAUGGUAAGACUUUGGCCUUAAGUGAUGUGCUGCAUGUGCCAUCGAUUAGAGUUAAUUUGAUCUCUAUAACAUUGUCGGGAAAAGUUAGGGUUAAAGUGUCAAUUGAAUCUGACAAGAUUGUUAUGACAAAAAAUAAUGUUUUUGCGGAGAAGGGAUAUCCUGAUCAAGGUCUUUUUGUAUUGAAUAUUUAUGAAGUUAUUAAUGAAUUUGGGUCUUCUGCUUAUAUUGUUGAUUUAUAUGAUGUGUGGCAUGCUAGAUUAAAACAUUUGAAUUAGUCGUAUGUUAUGAAAUUGCAACGACUAUGAUUAAUUAACAUGCAUGACAAACAAAGUAGGAAAUGUGAUAUUUGUGUAGAAUCUAAAAUAACAAAGAAAACAUGUCAUUUUGUAGAACAUCAAACUAAACUUCUUGGUUUAGUUCAUACCAAUGAUGUUGAUAAUGUGUGUAUUCUAAAUCUGGAAAUGGUGAUUGUGUCAUUAUAAAUUUAUGUGGUUGAUAACUGUCGUUUUGCUGUCAAAUUAAUAUGAUUCUAGCGUAGACUUGUCUAACACUAGAGAGAUGAUAGUAUAAUUGUGGACAAAUGUCCCCAAGUCGUCUCCCAACGAAUCCAAUAGUAAAAUCAAUUGAUCAGGGUUUAAAAUCUAUUUGCAAGCAAUAAAAGUUAGCAAUAACAAUAAAGAUAAAAAAAAAGGGUUUGAGAUAGUUGUGCAGAAAAUAUAAAAGAGAUUAAAAUAGCAAAUAAAAAGCGGUUGAUCCCAAGUUCUUCCACCAUUGAAUUCUUCACAGGUUGUCUAAAGAUUAAUCUUUUCUCAAUCCUCCAACAAAGCUAAACCAGAUUGAACAUGCGCCGAUCUGAUUCAACUGAAACUCACCAGUAAAGUAUGCGUCUACUAGUUUAAUCAAUACCCACUUUGUUUCAUGCGUAUACUCCAUGAGAAUGCUUACCUCCUCUCUCUUGAAUCAUGCGCCCAAGAAAUUAAUUAGAACAAUGCGAACUAACUAAGAAACCAAAGUUUAAGAAUAAGGAAGACUCUCAAUCAUGCGUUCAAGUACAACUCUCACAAAAACCCAGUUUUUCCCAGGAGAUUAGACAAUAAAAACAACUGCUAUAGAGAANNNNNNNNNNNNNNNNNNNNNNNNNNNNNNNNNNNNNNNNNNNNNNNNNNNNNNNNNNNNNNNNNNNNNNNNNNNNNNNNNNNNNNNNNNNNNNNNNNNNAAGGUUUAGCUCAUGCGAGCAAACAAAGAUACUAGAAAUAACUAGAAACCCUAUGAAGCUCCCUCUUCUCUCCUUGAUGCUUGUGUCCUUUUAUAGGCUUUUCUGCUCCAAGGAUCUUGGGAAAAUAUUGCAGUUUAGAUUUUGUAAACAGUUUCCACUUUCCAUAAUUCUUUUUAUUUUGCAGAAGAUUUGCUUCCAAUUCUGUUUCUGGAAUCUUGUAGCUUUUAUUUUCUCUUUCUUCUCCUCAGAAUAUUUUUUCUGUUUUGGUUCAAGAAGCCACUUGGACUUUUGCAUAUUUGGUCCAUUCACAAAGAUAGAUGCUUCCUCCGGAUAAUUUACUCUAAAAACACAAAAUUAACAAUAAUAAUAGUUAAGGCCCAAAUAAACCCAAUUAUAAGAAUAUUAAUUAAAACAAUGGAUUUAUUUAUUAUUAUAGUCCAAUAAUCUAUGAUUAAGGCUAUUGUGUGUGAAUAAAUAUAUGUUCAUCAAAUCUGGAAAUGGUGAUUGUGUCAUUAUAAAUUUAUAUGUGGUUGACAUGCUAAUUUUUGGUAAAUGCAAUCAUAUUUUUUAAAAACAAAUUUUUUUCUUGGAUCUAAGUUUGAGAUGAAAGACAUUAGUGAAACAAGUGUGAUUCUAGGAGUUAGAGUCAUAAGGAAGGGAGAUAGUAUAUUACUAUCCUAAGAACAAUACACUGAGAAUUUCUUAAGAAGUUUGAUUAUUAUGACUUUAAGUAAGUGAACACCCCUUAUGGUGCUAACUCUAAAUUAAAUAGGAACAAAGGAGAAUCUAUUUCUCAAACUCAGUAUGCCCAGAUAAUUGAGAUUUUAUUGCACUUAAUAAGCUUUUCUAAAUUAGAUAUUGUUUGUGCAGUAAGUAGCCUGAGUAGGUACACUCAAUGUCCUAGUUAGGAUCAUUGGGAUGCACUUGCGAGAAUCGUGAAAUACUUAAGAUGUAGAAUGGAUUAUGCCAUUGAAUAUAAUGGAUUUUCUGUUGUACUAUAGUGAUGCUAACUAGAUCUCAGAUUUAGAUGAGACAAAAAUCCACUAGUGGUUAUGUGUUUACACUUGGAGGAGGUGCAACUACAUGGAGAUCAGUCAAGCAAACAAUUAUUGCAAGAUCAACAAUGAAAUAUGAAUUUGUUGCUCUCGGAAAGGCUGACAGUGAAGCCAACUGGUUGAAAAAAUUCUUAAUAAACUUUCUGUUAUGAUUGAAGGCAUUGUUAUUAUCAAUUGCCAAUGAUUAUAGCUAAAAAUAAAAGUUACAAUGGAAAGAACAAACAUACAAUUGAGACAUAAUUAACGAUAUUUUAGAGCUAAACAAAUUAUUGGUUUUUAAAUUAGUUUUUAUUAUUGAUAAAUAGUUUCUGAAUUAGUAUCUAAUUAACUACCAAGAUUUUUACUACCAAUUUUAAAAUUUAAAUAAUUAGAAUAUAAAUUGGAGUACUCACAAUAUUCCUAUUUAUUUUAUUUUUUAUUAUUAAUAAAAAAAAUCGUCUAAUAUAAAUAGAACUACAUGUGAUAUUAUCAAAGAGUAAAAAAACAAUUGCAGGAUUUUGAUUAAAUAAAGCAAGGAAAACGGUGGUGGCAGAGGAUCUAUAGCCCCCAGUUUAAAUAAGGAAAAAUUAUACCUUAACAACCUAUAUAUAAUUUUUUAUGUAAUAAUUAUGAAAAAAUAUAAUUAAAAAUAAAUUUAUAAUUAAAUAAUAUGAAAAAUAAUUAAAAUAAUAACAUUAAAAUGUUGGAAUCAUAAUUUUAAAUAAAACUUAAAAAUUAGUUCAUCAGUGCAUACCUACACAUAGAGCGUCAUCACCUACUUGCAUCUCCGCGUCUGUAACACACCAAAACCAACACCAACCACUGUUUUUUUUUUUCCGGUUCUUGUCCUCCAAGAUAUUGAAUACAACCUUCGCCAGCCACAAGAAUAGUCUUCGCACGUUUUCCUUUUUUAGUAUUUGUAUCACUGUCAUGUACUCAUCACAUUAAUUAUUCAUUGAAUGUUCAGUUCAUGAAUCACAACUCUUCUUAUCUUAACAUAUCUGCGAUGCGAAAAAUCAACAAUGUGUUGGGUCCCCUCACAGAUUAAAUAUUAAUGUUGCAUUCAAUACGUUUUUAUUUGUUGGAGGACUUAAAAAACAUUUACUUUCUGUACAUAAACAGUUACAAACCUAUAAUAAAACAAUGCCUUCGUUUAGCAAAAACAUUUCUUGGUCCGUCAAACAAGUAAACAAAAAUACGGCGCGGUAUUACUAUGAUAUAAAACUAUAUUUAAGCUCUCUUGUUUUUUUAGCCAUAAUCAUAAAAAGAAGACCAAUGGUAAAUUGAAAUACUGUGGGGCACUUGCACCAAAAAACAUGCAUGUGUAGUCAGAAACAUUAGACAAAUUUAUCAAAAAGUUUUUCAUGCAUUGGUCCUCUCCUACUUUUUUCUUCCUAUACUCACUUUGUUUACUUAUGCCUAAGUGCCUAAUUAUGCUGCCUUUUUUAACCUGCUUGCAUUAAAAUGACAUGGUAAUAUAGAAAAAAUAUUAAAUAUAUUUUCUUAUUAGCAUAUAAAAUUGAUUUUGUUCAAAGUCAACACUUUAAAUUCUCUAAGUUUUUUAGCAUCCACAUUAUUGAAAUGAGUGAAUGAUAGUAGAUAAAAAUAAUCUUUUAUAUAAAUUUUAAAAUAGUUAAAAAAAAUAAAUUAUUUUUUAAUUAUAAUAUAUUUUUUAAAAUAUUUUAAAUCUUUUUUUAUAAAAAAAUAUUUUAUAUAAGAAAAUAAGGUUAAAAUUGAUUUUAGAACAAAACUUUUAUAUUGACGUACACAGUCACUACUUAUUAUUGAUGUAAAUAUUAACUAAAAUUUCAUAAAAAAAUUAAUAUAUUUAUUUUAAUAGUUUUUAUACUACAACAAUUUAAAACAUCUAAAAUUUUGACUCGAAAUAACGUGAUAAGUGACGAAAUACCUAUCUAACUCUAUAAAAAAAAAAUAGGUCAAAGGUAUAAGAGAGAAUAUUCUUAUGAUGUGAUCUUAAUUAAAAUAUGAAGAUUGAAUUGAAGAAACGUAGUGCAUGACUCAUGAUCAUGGUGUGUGUGGAAGAUACCUGGAUGUUUCCUUCAAACACAUUUAUUUGGUCUGAGAUUAAGCUGAUUAGGUAAGAUAUUCCAUGGAUUAGGAUACAUCACCACCCAUUUUUUAUUCCCCCCACUCAUUUCUUGUCCCUUUCUUUUCAAUUUUCCCAACUUGCAUCAAACCCUUUUCAAUAUCCUUUGACUUCCACUUUUUUAUUUUUCCCCUUUUCUUCGCAUCUCCAAAAACACUAAAUUUUGCACAUAUUAAUCAGUUCAUUCUAUAUUAGGAAAAACUUAGACACAAUGUUAUACUGCUUAUUCUAUUGGAUGCAAAACUUCACUUUCUAAUACUCAAUGAUACUUAAUAAAUAUUUUAUUAUAUUUUGACUCUAAUUAUAGACUACGAGAAAAUCAUCAAAUAGAAACCAAUAUUUAGAUACCAAAAUAAUUAGUUGCAGUAAUAACUAAAUUAGAAACCACUUUAGAAACUAAAAAAGAAUUGGUUUCUAAAUUAGUUUCUAUUAUUGUGAAAUAGAUUUUAAAUUGGUAUCUAAUUAGGUACCAAUGUUUUAACUAUCAAUUAUUUAGAUUUUAAAUUUGAUAGCAAAAAUCUUAAUUGAUAAUUAGAUACCAAUUUAGAAACUAUUUCACAAUAAUAGAAACUAAUUUAGAAACUAUUUUUUUAGUUUUUUUUAAAAGAGUAUCUAAUUUAGUUACUAUUUUAUUUUGAUAUCUAAAUAUUAGUUUCUAUUUGAUGAUUUUCUUGUAGUGAUAACUCCACCAACAUCCACAUUUCUAUAUCUAUAUUUUGUUUGUCAAUCGAAUUUGGUCUCUAUAUACUUAGGUGAUAACGACUAAUUCUCUAGAUGAAAAAUGUAUUAAAAGAAAUUUAUAACUUUUCUUAGUCAAAAGAUUAUCUGAAGGGUUUAAAGUUUAUAACUCUCAAGGCUUUAACAAAUCAAACUAAACUAAACCUUAAGUUGCAUAUUAUUUUGAAAUUGAGUUAGUAAUAUUUUAAAUACAUUUUUUGUAAAGUAUUUUACAAAUGAUUAUGAGUUUCAACUUUCAAAAAAACAUAAUAUUUGAAUAAUAUUUAAAUGUAGUUAUUAAUUCUAAUAAAUUUUAUAUUUUGGUAUUGUUUUAUUUAUUGUUGUUAUUAUAAGUAUAUUACUAAGUGAAUUUUAAAUUUAUUAUGAGAUCGAUUUAUAAAAUGAAAUUUAUAUUAAAAUACUAGUAUGAAAGGUUAACAAUCUAUUCAUAAAAUAAUAUUUAUUCAUUUAUAUAUAUAUAUAUUUAUUUAUUAAAAUGUGAGUAAGAUUAGUAAGAUAUAUGAAUAUGAUCCUAGAAUAGUCAGGAAUUUAUUUUCUCAGACCUUUCAGUGAUAGUGGUACCCAUUGAUGGUCUUUGAAAUGGGACAUUUUGUGGUGGGGUAGAAUAGGUUUUACUUGGGAAACGAGUAUGGUGAAAAUGUAGUGAGAUUAGGUCCAAGUGAAAUGAACAUCCUGGUUUCAUUAAUUUAAUGUGCUCCUUCUCGGAACCCUCUUCAUCCUUAUUGCCAGCUGCAAUCUUUGACUUCAGCUUUUCUGACUCUCAAAUGUUAGUAAAGAAGAUUGAUAUUUUCAGUUUCUUAGUUCAUCUUGUUUGAUUUACAAAAAUUGUGACUAAGUAAUUUCCUCACUUAAUUUAACUUGGAGACAUUAAUUAAUUAUUUAAAAAUUUAGAAAGUAUUUAUAUAAUUAUUAUUUUUAAAUAUAGAACAAAAUAAAUAAAUAAUAUCUCAGACCGUUUUUUAAGGAGCAACAGUGUAAUAAUUUAAUAAAAUAAAAUGGAUUGUCCGGUUUUCCCACUUGCGCAUUUGUCUCUUUGUGCUCGCAAUUUAAAUGACGAUGAAGUAUGUUGAAUUUUUUUUAUACCUUCAUAUUGAUUUUUUUUUAAUUUUAAAGAAUAUUAUUUAAAAAUAAUUUUUCAAAAGAAUAUAACUCAAAUAAAAAUUUGAUUUUAAAGUAUAAUCUAAAAAAAUUGCAUGAUAAAAUAUUAGUAGAAAUAAAAUUAGUUUUUCUGAAAAAUUAAAUUCAAAUAACUUACAUCACAAAGUAUAAAUUUAAAUAUAAUUAAUCUUUUUAAAAACAACUUAAUUCUGAAAACAAAUCUCAAUAAAAUUUAUUACAUAGCUUAUGGAAUUGGAUAUCAUAAUAUUUGUAACCAAAAAAAAAAAGUUUUGAUGGAGAUUAUUUAGUGGAAAUUAAUAUUAUCUUAAAAAUUGAUUUAAUUAAUGUAAGUUUUUUUAAAAUUGGGUAAGUUUCAAAUGUUAUUCUAAAACCGUAGCAAAUUAACGAAUUUUUUUUAUUUUUUAAUAAGUUCCAAAUGUUUAUUCUACAACCUCAGCAAAUUAACGGAAGUCUUUUUUAACUUUUGUUAAGUUUCAAAUAUUUAUUCUAAAAUCUUAACAAAAUAAUGGAGAUUUUUCAAUCUUUGUUAAAUUCCUAAGAUUUAUUAUAGAACCUCAAUAAACACUCCAGAUUUUUCAAACUUCAAUAAAUAAAUAUAAUUAAAUAUAUUUAUGAAUAAAAAAUUAAAAAUUAUAUAGUUUUAAUAUAUUGUAUAACUAAAAUCUCUUAAAGAAAGUGUAACUUUACAUUACAAAUAAGUUUUUUAAACUUUAAAAAAAUUAUUUUAAAAACUCAACAAAAUAACCUUCGAUAAUAAAUAUUUCAACAACUAAUCUUGGAUGAUAACUAUUUCAACAACUAAUCUUGGAUGAUAACUAUUUCAACAGUAUUUGCAUAUUUCUUAUGAUUGAUGAUAGUUGGUUUAUAUAAUUCCAAGUUUUUUUGUUACCAGCUCAUACUUCAAAAAAACUUGACUUAUUUUGUUUUAGCUUUUGAUGUACAUAUAUUUUAUGUGCGGUUUUAGUUUUAGUUAUAAUUGUUAAUAUUUAAUUCUUAUAAUUUUGAAAUAUUUUAAAUUAAGGUCUUUAUUUUAAAAUGCAUGUGAAAGUGAGAAGUAAUCAAGUUAAUUUCUUCUCGCAAUAUGUCUUGCAAUCUUUAAAGCCCUUGUAGUCAAGAACACACAUGCCUUUAAAGCUCACAUCUGACAGAUAAUGCAAUUAUUUAGAAUUUAUAAAGCAAUGGUAAACAUCAGUUUUUGUCGAGCUAGGUAACAAUGGCUUGUGACCCAAGUUGAGACUGUAAGGUGAUGGAAGAAGCAAUAUUGGAGUAAGAAGAAGUUAGUGCCUUAUUUAGUGUUUCUUCUCUUAGAUACAAUAGACAUAAGUGUGACUAAAUUGUGAUUCCUUGUUAGGACUGGCGUCAAUGACUAUUGAGUCUGUGCCGAAAAGCAGUGUAUCUACGGUGGAAGAGAAAAGUCAAGAGGAUCAUUAAAGAUGGUGGGAAAUGGGGUUGAAGGUUAUUUCAGACAACAAAUCAUUUUACGAAAAUUUUGAAACUCAUGGUAUUUUACGGAGGUUCUUAAACACAUGGUAUUUCUGAAAGACUUUUCUUAAGGUUUAAGAAAACCCCAUGGAACACGUUCUCCAAGGAUGGUUUAGUGGAGGAAAUUACAACCUUGGAUAAAUAACUUAAUAGAAAUUUUACUCCUGUAUAAUAUAAAAAUAAACCCUCGUCAAAAUAAUUUUUUCUUGUAGUGAACUUGAUGAGAAUCAGAAAGAUGUUAUCAAUAGAAGAAAUGGAUAAGGGCCAAAGCAUUUAAAGUUCUUCUUAUUAGUCUUUGCAAAAGAUGAGGCCCAAGCCCAAAGCCCAAGCCCAAGAAGGCCCAAGCCCAAAAAGCCCAAGUCCAAACCAUGAGGGGCAAGGCCAAGCAUUAAAUAAAAGAGCAUCAUUUGAAUGACUCUUGUAGGAGGUGUGGAUAUUAAAUAAAUAGGUGUGAAUGUAUUAGAGAGAGUCACAUUGUCCAUGUGACUUAGUAGGGGGGUGUAGGUGUAGUUUUUUAGGAGGUGUCAUAGUAGAAAAAGGUCACACCUCCCAUGUGACUUGUUUUUGGUGAGAAUUUCAAAUGAGUUUUAUUUGAAAUUUCCCACCUAUUUUUCAGCACCUCUAGGCUAUAAAUAAGGUGCUUUCCUUUGUAAUUUUCAGAUUGGAAUUAUAUAGUAGAGAGACUAUACUCAAUUUUGGAGAGAAUUUGUGAGUUUUGAGUCUUCCUCUUCUUUGCCUUAUCUUGUGAGCUAUGGUGAGCUUCAAGUGGUCAUCACUUAUCUUGGUUCAAGGUUCCAAGUGGCGUGAAUGGCUUCUUCCAAUUCUCAAAAUCCAGCAAGCAUCUUCUUCUAUAAGUGUUCUUCUUCCCUUUUCUUCAAUUUUCCAUUCGGUAGUUUUGGUUCCUAGAGUUUACUUCUUUUUCUACCGUUUAAUUUUGUGUUUCCAGCAUUGUGUUCUUAAUUCUGUUUUGGUUCAGUAGCUAUCAUUUAAAUUCUGUCCAGUUUUAAUUCUUGUUCUUCUUUCCUUGUGUUUUGAUUCAAUUUGACAAUACAUGGACUUCCAUAUGAGUCUUGGUUGGUGCUAAGUUUUGGUGAGUUCUUGAAUUUAGAACAUUGAUCCAAUUCUAAAGUAAAGUGCCUUUCAAAUCCAGCUCAAGUUGUUCCUAAGAAUGUCAAGAAUCAUGUGUUCUUGUAGUUACAUUCACAUCAGAACUAUUAAGAAACAACUCAUACACUUUACUCAUUGAUAUUCACUAAAAAUAUCUAUUUUAUAUUAAUAUAUAUAUAUAUAUAUAUAUAUAUAUAUUAACACAUUUCUCUAUUGUUGUCUCUAACUCCAUUAAAAAUAUCUAUUUUCUAUUUAUUUCAUAUUAAUUCAGAUAUAUACAUUAACACAUUUUUUUUUAUUGUAAUUAAUAAGGGCAAUGUUUUAAAGUAGUCUUGUGUUUGGACUUCUUAUAUCCUAAAAGCUAUUUUUUUAUUAUUGCGUAUAUUUUAUUAUCAUUCAUUCAUUUAGCAUAAACAUUAAUUAGUAUGCAUAAACAUUUUCUUGAAUGGUUUAACAACUACAGAAGUGUUAUAUCAUCUGUGCUUCUAAUUAAUUAGUAUAAUCAAUUUACAUAUAAGUAUGUAUGUGACUAUUUCACAGGUUCAUGAUGAGAGAAACAAGGUGAUUGACCCAAACAUGAAGCCAUUAGCUUGGGGUCCUAAUUCAUCUGUAACAUCAUGGAACAUGUACUUUGUUAAUGGGUAUAAAUUCCAUACAAAGGCAUGAAGUGAAGGAAAGAAAACCACAAAUUAUGGGGAGCAUAUAAAAGGUGUAACAGAAAGAGGACAAGAUGAUUUCUUUGACGUCAUCAAACAUAUUUAUGAAUUAGAAUAUCUUGGUUUGAGUAAGAAUAUUCCCCUUUUCUUUUGUGAUUGGUUUGAUCCAACCAAUAAUAGAGACACCAAAGUUCAUUUAGAAUAUAACAUUGUAAAAAUCAAAAUGAGUAGAAGAUAUAUUCCAUACGAUCCCUUCAUUCUUCCACAAAAAGUAAGACAAGUUUACUAUGUGCCUUAUCCAAAGAUUUGCAGGAACUUGCAUGGUUGGAGCGUGGCAAUCACAAUAAAGCCCCAAGGUCAUGUUGAAGUUGAUAAGAUACAAAAUGAUUUACCUUAUUAGCUUGAUGAAAUGCCUAAUGUGUUACCAAUUAUAAGAAAACGCCUUUUUGAUAUGCUCAGUAAAGCUAAGGGGAAAACGACAAAACCGAGCUAGAUUUGUCUCUUAAACUAUUGGGAUUCUAAAAAGUUCAAUGAGAAAUUAGUUCAAAAAUAAAUGGAACAGGUCAUCGAUUCGAGGUGAGACAUUGAACUUUAAUGUUAGACUUUUCCAUUAAUUUCAGGAAUAUAAAUGUAGCUGACGGGUUGAACUGAUGAGUUCACACCCUAAGAAUGAUGAAUUUUGGAUAGAUAGUCGUUAUCAUUUAUAAUAAUGAUAUCAUUAUUAAAAAUAAUAUUAAGAGAAAUAAUAAAUAAUAUUUGUAAAAUUAUUAAUAAUAAUAAUAUUUGUGAAUUAGGUCAUUAUGCACCAAUAACAAAUAACAAGAAAUAUAAUGACCGGUCAUUUAUUAUUUUAAUCAGUAAUCAAUUUUAAUCAUCUAGUGAUUGAUUUUUUUGUCGCUAUUUAUAAUUUUUCUUGAAAUAUCUAUAAAAAGAAAAUUUUUCGUAAUGAAAUUAUCAACAUUUUCAUAUUUAUUGAUUGUACCAUCAUUAGUUAUAAACAAUUUAUAUGCUGGAUGAUUCCAUAAGCAUCGUCAAGUUAUUUAUUAAUAUUAUUUGCUGCUGUUUAGUACUUCGAUUUUUUUUCUCUCUUUGAUGAACUCAUUUACUUCGACAAAGUAGCAUAUUAUAUAAUAUGACGAAGUCUCAUAUGUAUACACUCUGAGACCAAGAUACACUGCACAAUUUCCAUUCUUUAAAUUGAAAAGUAGAAGUUGUAUAUUACAUAUAUAUGAAAAAAUCAUAAAUGGCACAAGAAUUUUCAUGGUGGAGUCCCUACAGCUACACUUUAACCCUCCAAAAACCUAUCAAUGAACAACACCUUGUUGAGCUAAUUCUGCUCCUACUCUGCUUUUUACUCAUUUCCCUGCAUACCUAAUCCAAAAAGCCCAGUUCAGCCGAAUUCAACAUUCCCUGACCUCUCCAGAACAAAGAACAAGAAUAGUUACUAGUACUACACGUGCAUCACUGUUGGGUCCACACACUAAGUCUGGUUCCACGUGUGGUCGUAGUAGUUAGGUGAAUGCAAUAGCAUACCAAUGCUGACUUUACAAAAUAAUGAAGAUAUUUUGGGGUAAGGGUCCCAUGUUAUGGACGUAAUGAAGGCCCCUUGUCCAAAAGGUUUCGUUUUCACAUCAACAGGGCUUCCAUGAGAAUGUCCUGCAAGGGAGACACGUGGCCUAUUUGAUACUCAACAUUCCCAAAAGGGUCAUCCACCGAAAGGUUAUUAUUGUCAAAGUAAUUGUAUUCAAAAUCAAAGGCGUUUUCAAGCUGUAGCCCAAUGUCAUUCCAUUUGGGGUGGCUCUGCACCUCCCUCUCCCACCUCACCUCCGCCGAAACCACCUGCUCUGAACCG
rnacentral:lncRNA from 1 species